rnacentral:rRNA from 1 species
AGAGAGAGACAUGCGCGCAUAUCAAUAAGCGGAGGAAAAGAAACUAACUAGGAUUCCCUCAGUAACGGCGAGUGAAGCGGGAAGAGCUCAAAUUUGAAAUCUUCAAGGUUUUACCUUGACGAAUUGUAGUUUAAAGAAGUGUUUUCUGCUGAAGUUUUGGUAAAAGUUCUUUGGAAUAGGACAUCAUAGAGGGUGAGAAUCCCGUAUUUGACCAUUAUUUUCAGCUUUGUGAUACACUUUCAAAGAGUCGGAUUGUUUGGGAAUGCAGUCCAAAAUGGGUGGUAAAUUUCAUCUAAAGCUAAAUAUUGGCGAGAGACCGAUAGCGAACAAGUACCGUGAGGGAAAGAUGAAAAGAACUUUGAAAAGAGAGUUAAACAGUACGUGAAAUUGUCAAAAGGGAAGCGUUUGACACCAGUGUUGUUUUCUCGAAAAUCAAUUAAAAAUGGCUCGAUUUUGUAUUGCUUGAGACCUUAAAAGCUCACUGUACAUUUUUCGUGUCUUUUUUAAUGCACUUUUCGUUUAACAAGUCAACAUCAGUUUCUUUUGUUGUAAAAGGGUCAUUGGAAGGUGGCUUUCUUUUCGGAGAAAGUGUUUAUAGCCUUUGGCCUCUGCAAUCGGAGAGACUGAGGUCUGCAGCGUAGACUCUUCGGGGUUAGAUACAUUUGUGCUAAGUUAUAGCUUUUUAUAGACAACUUGUUGACUAUAAUUAGUCUUGUAGCUUACUCGCUUAUGCUAUUUUACCUACGCUUAGGAUGUUGAGUCGUAGAGCACGCAG